AUUACAUUUCUGGCUUUCACUAAUUCUUACAGAAGUGAGAGAAUUGCAAACACAUUUUUAAGUUAAAUGCGUACUGAGAUGUUUUGCUUGAUGUGAAAUCUGUUUCGAAGAACUAAGUUCUCAAACAUCCUGGUUGUGUUAACUAAAGCUUUCAGAAUGUUGUCAGCUGCCGUACAAACAAGAUGAUGCUUAAAUCCUUACACACCUACCUCUUUACUAGUGAAGUUGUCAAGUUACUUCAAAGAUCUGGACAUGGGCCUGGAUCUGCAGCCUUGUUGACACAAGUGAGCAACCAAAAUCUGUUGAGAUCUUUGAAGCAGACAUUCUUCUGUUUCUCCCAUUUGAGGCCUGGCCUCAUAAGCUUUUCUGAAGCAUGCUUACUAGAAGUGGGCCUAGCAUGAAAUAGGGCUAGAGAGAAACAGGAAACAAAUCCGGAUAGAGUGAACAAAGUAUUUGAAAGCUGUAGUGUUACAGAGUAACACAAGGUGGGGGCAGAGGGCAUGCAGAAUUAUGAAUGUGCAUGUUGAAGUUGCUGGAGUUUUUCCGCUUCUGUAUUUUUUAUGUAAGAAUCCUGUUACGCUGUGUAGGUAUCAGAGCUCUGCUGUAUUGAGCAAUUUAAACUCAUCUGUAGCUAUCUCCCUCAUGCUAACAGAUCUGUUCCAUACUUUCUGUGUCCUUUCUCAUAGAUGAUUUUAAUUUUCUAGAAAUAUUAAUCUAAUUUCCUGUGAAAUGACAGUUAGGCACUCAUGCCUCUGCCCAGUUUCCUCUAGUAUGGUUUGAACCUAAUGGUCAAUUUCUAUUAAAGCUAAUAGAUGUGUCAAAGAUCUCUCAAAAGUUUAUGAAAAUAGGUAAUUACCAAAGAAGUUGUGGACUUACUAAAGGAAAAGCUACAAUGUAAGCUUUGUUGGAUAUAAGGAAGCUUGGAAGUCUCUUCUGUUAAAUUCCAGAGAAUUAAUUCGCUGUUUGCAGGUGAACCAUAGAAAAUGAGGUUUCAUUAGUUUUAUUGCUGACAACUAUUUGUAUAUUUGGGGGAAUGUUCAAAUUUCUGUGGAACACACCAUGUUUAUUUAAAAGGACAAUAUGUUCAUAGACCAGGUGUAUUUUAUUAAAAAGCUUAAAUACCUUGCAGAUCUAAGAUGUUCUGUCUGAACUUCUCUGCCUCUUCACUAAGCCAACAGCAGUUCACUGAAGGGCAAUGGAAUGAACCCUGAUAAAAAUACCUGCUGGAUGCUGUGCCAGAUUUAAACAGUUACUGACAAUUUUGCACACUUCAGCUAGACAAAGAAUUAUCCACAUACAUGAGAUGCCAUCUCAAGAUUUAGAAGAAGGAAUGAAUUUCCAUAUGCAGAGGUCUCACUGCCUGACUUGAAAAGGGAUGAGGGGAGAGGAGCAAACUCGUGCAAAUACUCAUUGCAGUGUCUGCAGGCCUCAGGUGAGAGCCAUCUCAUAGUGGCACAGUUGUACCAGAUCUCCUCAAUAAAUGACUGACAACAGAACCUCUGCUCUCUACUGGACAUUUGCCCAAAACCAGAUAUAAGUGAACUCGAACAAGUUAUUCUUAUUUCUGCAAGUAACACUUUAUAUCAGCUCCUUUUAGUUUGUUUUUCAAAGUCUUUUCUGAGUGCUGGCUCUUGUAGCAGAGUUUAAAGCUGCCUCCAGGUAACAAUAUUCAAGUUUGAAUUUUUUCUCUAGAAAGGUUGCCAGCUUCUGCCUUUGGCAA